AUGGCCAUUUCGCCUGUGAAAUCUCCAUACCCCUAUACUGCGCGUGCGCGGACCCAAUAGACCGCGCGUGCGCAAUGUGGGGUAGGGAAAUUUCACAGGAGAAAUGGCCAUAAAAUUUACCUACCCCUCAACUGCGCACGCGCGGACUCACAUCAUCAGCUCCAAACUUAUCUGGACACAGGUAUCAUAUGCCAUGGCAUGCUUUUUGCUACGAAACCGCAGCCAUCUAGUCACUCGCCAGAGAAGGAUGAGAAACUGCACCCCAGCGAGAGGGACUGCCUCACAUCAGCAACCAAAUCCGUCGGUCACCGAAUUCAGUAAUCUCCGUCUCUUUGUCCAUUCUCUCUGACAAGCAUGUUCUCCUAUGGGACACGAAGUACAUGAAGAGGAAUGAAGAAGCACAUGUUUGAUGGUCGUCUCCAGGGUGGAGAAUUUAAUUUAUAAGUAAUGAAGUGGCAUCUGACACGUGACAAGCUGCUCCUGUUUGCACAGCAACUUCAACAUUGUGUACUGUGAUCACGGCAUAGUUCAGAGAACAAGGUGAUCCUCUCAAUUUUACACUCCUUUACUGAUGGUUCCAGUGCCAGAGAAAAACCCACCACCAUUAACCUAGACCUGCUGAAACAGAAGAGAUUACCUUCUUCUACAGAAAACUUCCAUAUGACUGCUUCGGAACGCAUGCUGCAGACAUGAAGUAACCUUCAUCUUCCAGUGAUUAAUAAUCCUGGACGGCCCAGAUAGAGAGAGACUAUUCUAUUAUAAAGA